CAGCGACUUCGAAGAGGAAACAACUGUCCUGGAUGAGGUCCAGUUGGAUGUGCCAUUGGAUGAUGUGCCAGAUGUUCCACAGCUGCCAGUCCUCCUUGAUGUCCAGAAUGCUGCUAUCAUCCUUGAGGAUGUGCCAGAUGUGCAGACUAUCCUUGAGGAGGCCACUGGCAAUUGGCAGUUGAUUCCGAUUAGGUUCAGCCCCCUGUACUGUGGGCCUGUUGUGAUCAGGGUAAGAGAC